UACAUCAAGUAUAGAUAUUAUAAGAUUGUUGAUACAGGGAAUAAAAAUAAAGAAAUAAGGAGGAUAUGACGAUGAAGACUGCGAGACUAGUUCACAUUUGAUAGGCGGAGAAUCAGAGUAGAAGGUUAAGGGAAAAAGAGAGAAGGAGAAGGAGGUCCAAGGACAGGAGAAGGUUGGUAAAUGCUAAGUUAACAUGUAGAAUGCCAGAAGAAGAUCCUUGAUAUCUCGUGUGUAAAGGUAUAUAUAGACGAGGUUCCCUUAUUUGGUCACCAACAAUACGAAUGUGAUCUCCCUUAGGAGAAUAAAAGUGGUUGAUAUGAAGUGCACGGAUGGAUGGUCAUGAAUGACCAGCCGGAUGGCCACCACUGAGGGUACAAGGCAGAGGACCAUCCGCGAGUACUCACUGAGCCGUUCCUUGUGCUACUACGUGUUCAAGUUUAAGUAGGGGAACAACAAAUAUGAAUUUUAAUUUUAAUUUAAUAUGUAGUGUGAUUUGUGAAUUUUAAUUAUGUGUAAUAAUACACAUAAAUUUUUUAUUUA